rnacentral:rRNA from 1 species
GACGAACGCUGGCGGCGUGCCUAACACAUGCAAGUAGACCAGAUAUGCGAAAGGGUGAGUAAUGCCUAGGAACCUGCCUGGUAGUGGGGGGUAACGACCGGAAACGGGGGCUAAUACCGCAUACUAUCAGAUGAGCAGAGGUCGGAUUAGCUAGUUGGUGGGGUAAAGUCCUACCAAGGCGGCGAACCUUAACUGGUCUGAGAGGAUGAUCAGUCACACUGGACCUGAGACCCGGUCCAUACUCCUACGGGAGGCAGCAGUGGGGAAUAUUGGCCAAUGGGCGAAAGCCUGCUCCAGCCAGGCCGCGUGUUGGAAGAAGGUCUUCGGUUUGUAAAGCACUUUAAGUUGGGAGGCGUUACCAACAGAAUAAGCACCGGCUAACUUCGUGCCAGCAGCCGCGGUAAUUC